AAAAAUGAAAUUAUUCUCGGUUUGAGAAAUACGGUAUAGUAUGGUUUAAUACGUGUUAUUUAGAAGAGAGAUUAUGGUAAUGGUUUAGCGCGUAUAAUGCACGGGUUUUGUGUGCAUGUUUUAGCGCGAAAGCGCACGAGUUUUUCGUUUUGGGGUAUAUAUGAUUUGCACAUCUAGUGAGACGCCAUUCGAGGGUUGUUUUUGACAGGCAAAGUUAUGGAGCAAGAAAACGAAAGGGUGAUAAAGUAGUUUAGGCGUUCAUUUGCGAAAUACAUAGUAUUCGGAAGGAGAUUUUCGAUGAGAGGACUGAUUCUCUGCUAGAAGCGGAAUGGUGAGCUGGAACUUCGAACAAAGGUCAGACUUGUUGGUUCUGUUUAUUGUAAUAACACUGGCAACAACAUUCCGAUUGAAAUUAACACAGGUUGUGUUCCUUGUUAACUUUAAUGAUAAGUAUAUUCAAUAACAUGCUCCAUAUCUUUAUUUGUGCUGUUGUUUUUGUUUAGUUCCAACUAUUCAGAUACAUCAAUUGAUUUGAUUAUUGGGUAACAAUGAAACUAUUUAAGUUCAAAAAGAUGUCGCAAAUGUAAUGGUCUGGUAGGAUUAUAUAUAGGUAAGGCCACAUAGUGUGUCACUCCAGGUUGUUUUGAUAGCAGAGUUAGAUCACUCUCCCUCAUGUUUUUACGAACACCUUGCUUUAUUUUUAUUGUUUUUAAGAUAUAAAACCUUAUAUGGUAAUACAUGUGUUACAAGUUUGUGUAUUAGUUCCAAGCGUAUAAUUCAACAAACGAUUAAUAACAAUUAACUGCCGUUUUCCUUAUAAUUCAGCUAGAUGGUUGUGUGCGAUAUAUGACGUGGUAUGAUAAUGAGCGGAUGAAAAUUUAUGCAAACAUAUCUUUAAACUAUUCAGGUAUUCCAAUUGUGAAUUAAGAAUGAAACAUAAAAAAUCGAUACAUUACUGAAAUAUAUAUUAUAUUCAUCUAUGAAACAGCUAUAGAGACUUGUCUUGUAAACUUUUUUCGAAACAUGUUUGUGUUGUGCAUAUAUUACAUCUCGUUCACUGGAUAUUGAAUAAACAGUUUAUAUGUUAUUGUUGUAUACAAUUAAAAAAUUUCUCUAAAUUGAAUUAAAACAUUAAGAGUUAUUAUAUUUUUCAUAAUAAUUUAAGACGUUAAGUUUUCCCUGCAAGGUUGGUGUCAAUAAUGGUGCAUGCAUAUGUGCUAAUUAAUUUACGAUAUUUUGGAUAAACUGUGGUAUAAAUUUGGUUUGAAAAGAGCGUUGACAAUAAGACUGUUGUUUUAAACUUAGAUGAAAGGCAUUUAUCGGUUUUGUUAAAUUUAGUUUCGUCAUAGUUAAAUGCAUUUUUAGAGAUUAGGUACUGUAAUGAUAACAAAAGUAGACCGGAUUUAUUUGCAAUAUAAGUCAUUUUGUUUUCGUGAUAGUUUUUGUUCUUGUUUGGUGGCCUGUUGGCUUGAUGUGUAAAGACAUUUUGCUUUUAUGGUGUUUGGCCGUUUUUUGAAUGCAAGUUAACAUGUGUAAUUUGCUUAUCGUUUUGGUAAAAGCCAGUUGACCAGAUGUGGAUAAACCCAGUUAGCGCGUGUAGUUUGUUGACCAAAUUUGUUAAAACGUGCGUUUACAUUUACAUUUUUGUUUUUAUUUAAUGUUAAGAUUGUACUGUUCGAAGGAUAUUAUAUUUAUUGGAGAACAUUAAAUGUAUGUUAUUAAGGGCCAGAUUGGCUUAUGUAAAUUAACCGGUUGGCUCGGGUUGUCCGUUGACAGUUUGUUGAAAGCAGAUUUUUUCAGAUGCGUAUAAGCCAGUUUGCUUGCGUGUCAAUUCACUAAAAUGUCUCAAAACACAUGUUGAAAUUGCAUUUACACAUGUUUGCGAAGUUUAUUUUUUCAGAAGCUGGACAGUUCGAAGAAUAAAUAAUGAAUAGUGUAACAUUAUAGUAAGAGGGCAGCUCGAAAGUGCAGUAACUGGACAGUACGAAUGGUAUAUUAAGUAUUGGAGAACAUAAAGUUAAAACACAGUUCGAGAGGUAUAUAACGUGGUGGAGAAUAUUUAGGUAUUCAUUUUAUGUUUUAUAUUAUUUGUAUUCUCUCUUUGUUUUAUUCGAAAGUCCUGUCAAAUACAAGCACUCACUCCUAUUUUGUCUUUGGUUUAUUAUUUGUUUGAUAAUGAUAAUGAUGAUGAUAUGGGUUAUAAAGAUGAUGAGAUUUUAAUAGUAUUUUGAGAAUAGAGA